CCUACGGGCGGCAGCAGUGGGGAAUAUUGCACAAUGGGCGAAACCCUGAUGCAGCGACGCCGCGUGAGUGAAGAAGUAUUUCGGUAUGUAAAGCUCUAUCAGCAGGGAAGAAAAUGACGGUACCUAACUAAGAAGCCCCGGCUAACUACGUGCCAGCAGCCGCGGUAAUACGUAGGGGGCAAGCGUUAUCCGGAUUUACUGGGUGUAAAGGUAGCGGAGGUUGCAUGGUAAGCCAGAAGUGAAAACCCAGGGCUCAACUCUGUGGGUUGCUUUUGGAACUAUCAAGCUAGAGUGCUGGAGGGGGAAGCGGAAUUCCUAGUGUAGCGGUGAAAUGCGUAGAGAUUAGGAGGAACACCGGUGGCGAAGGCGGCUUACUGGACAGAAACUGACACUGAGGCUCGAAAGCGUGGGGAGCAAACAGGAUUAGAUACCCGUGUAGUC
rnacentral:rRNA from 1 species